GUAGUAUAGAAGGUUGAUUUUUUUAAAUCCUAUAUUUCAGAAUAGUCCUUCAGCAUGUUUUUAAUAGUGAAAUACAUAGAAGCAUUACCAAAGGUCAAAUAUAAGACCAUCACCACUAUUUUGUUUUGGAACUGCUCGUCAGUUCAGUUAGCUAAGAGAGCAGAAGUUAGAGAACAUAAUUGCUGGUGUUUACUGGACAUCCACUGUGUUUCAGGCACAGUUCUAAGCACUUUUAAAUGUAGUGAAGAAAGUUAAAUCUACCGUUUUAAGCCUGAGAAAAGACAAAAUAAUCAACUGGAAAGCUAUUAGAGGCCAUAGCCAUACAAAGAUGGCUAGAUACAAAAUAAAUACACAGAAUGUCAUUCACUGUCAUUCAUAUUAUAUAGCAAUACAAGUCAUAAAAUAUCCUAGAGAUUAGGAGAUUAGGUUCAACAAGAAAUACGAAGAAAACUAUAAAACUAUAUUGAAAGACAUGAAGAGACUUGAACAUAUGGAAAAAUAUGCUUUCUUCUCAAGUAAGUUUUCACAUAAACUGUAUCACUUCUUAAAGUGAGUUCUAAGUUUGAAACUCUGAAUCAGUGAUAAGCUGAUCUGGGCCAAGAGUUGUUCUCCCACAAAGAUUGAGCAGAACAGUGAAAACCCUGCAAGCGUGGAGCAAACAAAAGGCCUGAGGAAGGUGCACCAGAGCCCCGGGGGCGCCAGCCCGCUCUUCUGCACUCCCUGGGGCCAGUGAGGACGGCCUGAGAGUGGAGACGCGCCUCCCCCUCUAAGGGAAGACAGCACUUCUAUCCGGAAUCUAGACGUUUGCUGUGAUUCCCAUUUAAACUCAGUAGGAUGGUUUUUUUCCCUUGAAAAAUUGCUUCUAAUGAGACUAAUUUUUACUAAGCUGCGCUAAUCAUGUAGACUCAAGACUAGACCAGAGGACAAAACAGAGACCGGAAACACGCCGUGUAGGGACAGAGUGU